UACGUAGGGUGCAAGCGUUGUCCGGAAUUAUUGGGCGUAAAGAGCUCGUAGGCGGUCUGUCGCGUCUGCUGUGAAAACUCAGGGCUUAACCCUGAGCUUGCAGUGGGUACGGGCAGACUAGAGUGCGGUAGGGGAGACUGGAAUUCCGUGGUGUAGCGGUGGAAUGCGCAGAUAUCAGGAGGAACACCGGUGGGCGAAGGCGGGUCUCUGGGCCUUACCUGACGCUGGAGGC
rnacentral:rRNA from 1 species